AGCUCUGCCCUCCUACAGGAUCUUCGGUUUCGGCCCGGAAUUAUAGAGUGAAAUUCUCUACCGAGCUU
rnacentral:tRNA from 1 species